GCCGGUCUGCGGAGUUCGCAGAAGCCUCUAAUAAAUUGAUCCUAUAGUCAAUGUCAUGGGAUCCGACUCGAGCAUAGUGCUGGUGUGCAUGCUCCCGUUGACUUCGGUUAGCGACGGAGAAGCCUGAAGGCGCGCGGGGGGUCCCCCCCUAAGUUGUUUAAGGGGUCAAUGACGGAGGUGGAAUCGGCUUUGGUGGAUCGCUC
rnacentral:other from 1 species